rnacentral:rRNA from 1 species
CAAGUGAAGGGUUUGAUCCUGGCUCAGAACGAACGCUGGCGGCGUGGAUUAGGCAUGCAAGUCGAACGAGAAAAUCCCCUUCGGGGGAUGAGUACAGUGGCGGAAGGGUGAGUAAUGCGUAGAUAACCUGCCCUCGAGACGGGGACAACAGCCUGAAAGGGCUGCUAAUACCAGAUGCCGCGCGGUUGGCCUCGGCCGACCGAGCGAAAGGCGGGACCUUCGGGCCUGCCGCUCGAGGAGGGGUCUACGUCCUAUUAGCUAGUUGGUGAGGUAACGGCUCACCAAGGUGAUGAUGGGUAGCCGGCCUGAGAGGGUGUCCGGCCACACUGGGACUGAGACACUGCCCAGACUCCUACGGGAGGCUGCAGUCGAGAAUAAUCCGCAAUGGGCGAAAGCCUGACGGUGCGACGCCGCGUGGACGAUGAAGGCCUUCGGGUUGUAAAGUCCUUUCGCGCAGCAGGAAAAACGGGAUGAUAACACCAUCCCGCUUGACGUUACUGCGUAAAGAAGCUCCGGCUAACUUCGUGCCAGCAGCCGCGGUAAGACGAAGGGAGCGAGCGUUGUUCGGAAUCACUGGGCAUAAAGGGCACGUAGGCGGCCUGGUAAGUUAGAUGUGAAAGCCCCUGGCUCACCCAGGGAAUUG